rnacentral:ribozyme from 1 species
AUUUCCCAUUUGCUUUCUUUUUCUUUUUGUUGUUGUCUCGCUUCUUCGAACUCUUCAUUUGUGGCUUCUUCUUCUUCUUCUUUCAGAAGGAAAACAUGAAAGGGGAGAAGAUGGUACAAAUGAAGAG